rnacentral:misc_RNA from 1 species
UUAUUUGUUAUAGAUUACUACGUUCGUGACGUUCGAUGUUUGUAAAGGCCCGAGGGCCACGGUUCACAGAGGUUGGUUGGAUAAGCCCCGAGGGGCGUUCACUAAUGAUCCUUCCGCAGGUUCACCUACGGAAA